rnacentral:rRNA from 1 species
UGGGGAAUUUUGGACAAUGGGCGCAAGCCUGAUCCAGCCAUGCCGCGUGCGGGAAGAAGGCCUUCGGGUUGUAAACCGCUUUUGUCAGGGAAGAAAUCUUCUGAGUUAAUACCUCGGGAGGAUGACGGUACCUGAAGAAUAAGCACCGGCUAACUACGUGCCAGCAGCCGCGGUAAUACGUAGGGUGCAAGCGUUAAUCGGAAUUACUGGGCGUAAAGCGUGCGCAGGCGGUUUUGUAAGACAGAGGUGAAAUCCCCGGGCUCAACCUGGGAACUGCCUUUGUGACUGCAAGGCUUGAGUGCGGCAGAGGGGGGAUGGAAUUCCGCGUGUAGCAGUGAAAUGCGUAGAUAUGCGGAGGAACACCGAUGGCGAAGGCAAUCCCCUGGGCCUGCACUGACGCUCAUGCACGAAAGCGUGGGGAGCAAAACAGGAUUAGAUACCCUGGUAGUCCACGCCCUAAACGAUGUCAACUGGUUGUUGGGAAGGUUCCUUCUCAGUAACGUAGCUAACGCGUGAAGUUGACCGCCUGGGGGAGUACGGCCGCAAGGUU